AGAGUUUGAUCCUGGCUCAGGAUGAACGCUAGCGGCAGGCCUAAUACAUGCAAGUCGAGGGGCAGCAUUAGUACUUGUACUAGAUGGCGACCGGCGCACGGGUGCGUAACGCGUAUGCAACCUACCCUAUACAGGGGGAUAGCCCAGAGAAAUUUGGAUUAAUACCCCAUAGUAUUUUUGAGUGGCAUCACUUAAUUUUUAAAGAUUUAUUGGUAUAGGAUGGGCAUGCGUUAGAUUAGUUAGUUGGUGAGGUAACGGCUCACCAAGACGACGAUCUAUAGGGGUUCUGAGAGGAUGAUCCCCCACACUGGCACUGAGAUACGGGCCAGACUCCUACGGGAGGCAGCAGUAGGGAAUAUUGGUCAAUGGGCGAGAGCCUGAACCAGCCAUGCCGCGUGCAGGAAGACGGCCUUCUGGGUUGUAAACUGCUUUUAUAUGGGAAGAAAAAGGUCUUGCGAGACAAAUUGCCGGUACCAUAUGAAUAGGCACCGGCUAACUCCGUGCCAGCAGCCGCGGUAAUAC
rnacentral:rRNA from 1 species